AGUGUUUGAUCCUGGCUCAGAUUGAACGCUGGCGGCAGGCUUAACACAUGCAAGUCGAGCGGGGGAAGGUAGCUUGCUACUGGACCUAGCGGCGGACGGGUGAGUAAUGCUUGGGAAUCUGCCUAUUAGUGGGGGACAACAUCUCGAAAGGGAUGCUAAUACCGCAUACGUCCUACGGGAGAAAGCAGGGGAUCUUCGGACCUUGCGCUAAUAGAUGAGCCUAAGUCGGAUUAGCUAGUUGGUGGGGUAAAGGCCUACCAAGGCGACGAUCUGUAGCGGGUCUGAGAGGAUGAUCCGCCACACUGGGACUGAGACACGGCCCAGACUCCUACGGGAGGCAGCAGUGGGGAAUAUUGGACAAUGGGCGCAAGCCUGAUCCAGCCAUGCCGCGUGUGUGAAGAAGGCCUUAUGGUUGUAAAGCACUUUAAGCGAGGAGGAGGCUACUUUAGAUAAUACCUAGAGAUAGUGGACGUUACUCGCAGAAUAAGCACCGGCUAACUCUGUGCCAGCAGCCGCGGUAAUACAGAGGGUGCAAGCGUUAAUCGGAUUUACUGGGCGUAAAGCGCGCGUAGGCGGCUAAUUAAGUCAAAUGUGAAAUCCCCGAGCUUAACUUGGGAAUUGCAUUCGAUACUGGUUAGCUAGAGUGUGGGAGAGGAUGGUAGAAUUCCAGGUGUAGCGGUGAAAUGCGUAGAGAUCUGGAGGAAUACCGAUGGCGAAGGCAGCCAUCUGGCCUAACACUGACGCUGAGGUGCGAAAGCAUGGGGAGCAAACAGGAUUAGAUACCCUGGUAGUCCAUGCCGUAAACGAUGUCUACUAGCCGUUGGGGCCUUUGAGGCUUUAGUGGCGCAGCUAACGCGAUAAGUAGACCGCCUGGGGAGUACGGUCGCAAGACUAAAACUCAAAUGAAUUGACGGGGGCCCGCACAAGCGGUGGAGCAUGUGGUUUAAUUCGAUGCAACGCGAAGAACCUUACCUGGCCUUGACAUAGUAAAAACUUUCCAGAGAUGGAUUGGUGCCUUCGGGAACUUACAUACAGGUGCUGCAUGGCUGUCGUCAGCUCGUGUCGUGAGAUGUUGGGUUAAGUCCCGCAACGAGCGCAACCCUUUUCCUUAUUUGCCAGCGAGUAAUGUCGGGAACUUUAAGGAUACUGCCAGUGACAAACUGGAGGAAGGCGGGGACGACGUCAAGUCAUCAUGGCCCUUACGGCCAGGGCUACACACGUGCUACAAUGGUCGGUACAAAGGGUUGCUACACAGCGAUGUGAUGCUAAUCUCAAAAAGCCGAUCGUAGUCCGGAUUGGAGUCUGCAACUCGACUCCAUGAAGUCGGAAUCGCUAGUAAUCGCGGAUCAGAAUGCCGCGGUGAAUACGUUCCCGGGCCUUGUACACACCGCCCGUCACACCAUGGGAGUUUGUUGCACCAGAAGUAGCUAGCCUAACUGCAAAGAGGGCGGUUACCACGGUGUGGCCGAUGACUGGGGUGAAGUCGUAACAAGGUAACC
rnacentral:rRNA from 1 species